rnacentral:pre_miRNA from 1 species
AUAUUUAACACCUAGGAGACUUAUUAAAAUGCAGAAUCUGAUUGAGAAGGCCUGGGAUGGGGCCCAGGUUCUGAAUUUCUAAUGAGCUUCCAUGUGAUGCAGGG